GCGCUUCACUUCGGUGAGGAGCGGCGGACGGGUUAGUAACGCGUGGGAAUAUACCCUUCACUAUGGAAUAGCCUCGGGAAACUGAGAGUAAUACCAUAUACNCCCUUCGGGGGAAAGAUUUAUCGGUGAAGGAUUAGCCCGCGUAAGAUUAGAUAGUUGGUGGGGUAAUGGCCUACCAAGUCUACGAUCUUUAGCUGGUUUGAGAGGAUGAUCAGCAACACUGGGACUGAGACACGGCCCAGACUCCUACGGGAGGCAGCAGUGGGGAAUCUUAGACAAUGGGCGCAAGCCUGAUCUAGCCAUGCCGCGUGAGUGACGAAGGCCUUAGGGUCGUAAAGCUCUUUCGCCAGAGAUGAUAAUGACAGUAUCUGGUAAAGAAACCCCGGCUAACUCCGUGCCAGCAGCCGCGGUAAUACGGAGGGGGUUAGCGUUGUUCGGAAUUACUGGGCGUAAAGCGUACGUAGGCGGAUUGGAAAGUAGGGGGUGAAAUCCCGGGGCUCAACCCCGGAACUGCCUCCUAAACUAUCAGUCUAGAGUUCGAGAGAGGUGAGUGGAAUUCCAAGUGUAGAGGUGAAAUUCGUAGAUAUUUGGAGGAACACCAGUGGCGAAGGCGGCUCACUGGCUCGAUACUGACGCUGAGGUACGAAAGUGUGGGGAGCAAACAGGAUUAGAUACCCUGGUAGUCCACACCGUAAACGAUGAAUGCCAGACGUCAGGGGGCUUGCCCUUUGGUGUCACACCUAACGGAUUAAGCAUUCCGCCUGGGGAGUACGGUCGCAAGAUUAAAACUCANAGGAAUUGACGGGGGCCCGCACAAGCGGUGGAGCAUGNGGUUUAAUUCGAAGCAACGCGCAGAACCUUACCAACCCUUGACAUCCUAGGACCGCCAGA
rnacentral:rRNA from 1 species